UUACGGUCAAAUCACGCUGAAAAACACCGGUUCUCGUUCGAUCACCGAAGUUAAGCAUCGUAGAGCCAGGUCAGUACUUAGAUGGGGACCGCUUGGGAACACCUGGUACUGUAAG
rnacentral:rRNA from 1 species